rnacentral:piRNA from 1 species
UUUUAUGGUUCACUUGUCCUUUUUUGAGG